GGUGGCGUAGUUCAAUGGUAGAGCAGGGGAUUGUCUAUCCUCAAGUUACGGGUUCGAAUCUCGUCGUCACCG
rnacentral:tRNA from 1 species